rnacentral:tRNA from 1 species
GCCGGUUUAGAGCAGUCGCUUUGUAAGCGAAUGGCCAGCGGUUCAAGUCCGUUAACCGGCACCA